UAUACUCCUGCUUAACAUAGUGAAUUAUUUGAAUCAAGUACAUAUCACAUUGUCCUUCCCGGUUACGACAUAAUUAAUAUAAUAAUAGCCUUAGAUAAACAGCAAUGAAACUUUGCACUUUUUUAUAGGAAAAAGGCCGGACAACAGUGCAGGGCACAUAAUGCUUCCAAAAACAGUAUAUGGUUCAUAUGACUUUUAAUUCAGUGUGGCAGGGACAAUACUCAUAUUCAUUUAUAGGUCUAGUUUACACUAUCCAAAGAAAGAGAUAUUUACAAUAUAGUAACCUCAUAUUAUUUAUUUCAGGCAUACCUACUGUUAUGCAAGGCAAACAAGCAAACAAUCUUCACACCAUCUUCACCGGGCUGUCACAGAGAGCCAGGAGAGCCAUAAAACACAGUGGAUUUGGUCCUAUUGAUGAUGAUGAACAGGUACAUUUGUUGACUUGGCUUCCUUAUGUUGAUAACAUUUAUGGGUGGAUUUGACUUAUUUUUUGUAUUGAUCGUGUAGUAGAGGGAUACAUUGGAUAUAUUCAAGAGCAGAAACUAGACAGAUGAAACAUAAAGACUAUGUGUUUGAUGUCUGGGGCAAUCAUGAUGUUUUACAAGAAGAAAGGGUACUCAAAAGCAAAAGCAGAGGAAAUCUUAAGGUGUGAGGCGCACUAAGGAGGAGAUGGAGGUCAUCAUGCACAGGGAGUUUCGGAGCUAUCGAAAGUACAAACCAAUGUGAAUCCAUUUCAUGAUUAAUGUCGUAAUUUCCCUUUUUUCUGACAGUGAAACUUGACAAGGAUGUAAACCAGUUAGUACUGCCAAACCUCACGCUUGCCCAAAGGCACCAAAAAUAUUUAAGGAAUGAUCAUUUAUGCAUUAUUGUUAGUGAAAUCAUUUUAGUUUUAUCAAUGCAAAGGAAAUCAGUUUCUUACAUUUCAAAAAUGUAUUUUUUGUCUCUGCUCAAUGACAUAUUUUUCUUUUUUUCGGCAUGGAAUUUGAAAUCUUAACCCUAUCCCGAAAUCUUAAAUCGUCCAUUAGUUUGCGUGGUUGAUAUGAAAAUAAACACCAUGCAUAAUUGUCUACCAUAUGAAUUAAGUCUAAUUGUUGAUUAAUGUUUACCAAAACAAUGUUAUCUUCCUCUGAAUGUAUAUGUAUGUUAUCCUCCUUUGCUAUCUUCCUCUCUCUCUCUGUGUGUGUGUGUGUGUGCGUGCGUGCGUGCGUGCGUGCGUGCGUGCGCGUGCGCGUGCGCGUGUGUGUGUGUGUGAACG